AAUAAGUGUAGGUAUAUGUUUAUGAAAAAUUAUGAGCAAUGUGCUCGAUAAUUGGGUGAAUUUCGAUAAGACAAAAUGGAUUAAGUGGAAUUAUGUAAGAAUGAAUUUUAGUGGUAAAACAGUGUUGGACAGCAGCAGUUGCAUGACUUUGAAAAUUCACUAAAAAUUGUGAAAUUUGAAUAAAAAUGCAAAUGAUAUAUGAAAAUAAAUCUUAAUGAGUCUAUUUUCACAUGAAAGAAAUAGGGGAAGCAAAAGAAUUCUAUAUUGUGUGAUAUUUGAAUUCUUGUGAAACAGGGUCUGAAUGAAUUCGAGAUUCCCUGUUCUGACUUUAGAAAUUCAC
rnacentral:lncRNA from 1 species